GGGUACUACAGUGAUCAGAUUUCCAUGCUGCAGCCCAUGGAGGAGCCCAUGGUGGAGCAGGUGGAUCCAACCUGAAGGAGGCUGCAGUCUAUGGAGAGCCCCCACCGGAGCACACUCCAGUCUAGAGCUGCAGGUUUCUUCUUUCUGGAUCAGACUUCAGUCUGGUGUAAAUCUAAAUGGAACAACAUAUGGUCAGAGAUCAUACCACGGAUCAUUGGUUCUAGCAUGAAAGAAUCCUGCAAAGUCAAGCUACAAACACAAAUUUGGGCUGGAUAUAUGAAAGUUCAAAUUUGGAGAACAAGGAGAUAAAACCAGGAUGUGAGAUAUGAGAUAUACUACUUACCAGCCAGACAUCCAGCAAAUACAUUGUAGUCUUUUUGAGGAUUACAGACUAAAACUCCUUAUGCACUGUUUUCAUUCCCUUGUGGGGAAGAGCACUACAAAGACUGGCUCUGCUAUAUCAUCUGGGAACAAAGACAAGACACUCCCACUUCUUGCUAUCUCUCACUCAAAACCAAACUCAGGUGGAAAUAUCAUUCCUUGUGUAUUGCUUUGAUUAGUGGGAUGAUAUUGGAUCCAGGGCUAAAUGCUUAAAUACUUAAAUAAUACAUAUUUUUUAAAACAUUGGAUUUACUGGAACUCUUUUCUCCUGACUAUUAAUAUGAAUAUAAUGGUCCCGAUUGUUUUGUUACAUCUAUGCUACACAAGCGGAGCCUACAUUUGAACUGAGGCUCACUUUAAUUAUUGAAUUAACACAAUUUCAUGGUUGAUAUGCUUCUUUCUCACCUCUGGGCUUUAUAUUUUCUGGUCUGCUGUGAUCUUUUUGCCUAUUGGUGCAAGAAGAAAUUAAUGCAUUUUCUUGUUGCUCAUGCGUUACUAUCCAGAACAUUACAAAUUAAAUUUUACCUAAAGAAAUAUAGUCCUGGAUCAGAACUUCUUCUUACAGCUCCUUACAUUUAAAAAUAAACGAGACACCUUUCGUUAAACAGUUACAGACAUACAUUUCCAUUACAGAGUUUACAUGUCUGAACUACCUAUUACAUAUUUCAGUUUUAUGUUCAUUUCUUGAAACCUGUGGCCCAUAUUACUAUGUGGCAAAUGUGAACCUGGGCCCUCAUCUGUCCCUGAACAUCACUGUGCUGUAGCUUGUCCAAACAGAGCAACUGCCAAAGUUCAGACUUGAGAAUAUUAAAGUGUUCAGAAUAUUUAGAUAUACAGAAUACUUAAGCCUGCAUGUAAUGAAGAUUCUUUAUUGUUAAGCCUACAAGGAAUUCUAUUCAGAUAAUCUGUGCAGCAUUAAAAAAGUCAUUAUCAUCUGCAGUAAAAGAACUGGGGGGAGAAGAAGGUUGUUUAUUUAUUUUGAAAUGAUGUCCACUGUGUUCUAAGUGGUCACAGUGUGGCAUGCAGAGAAGCUUGUGCCAGAUUUGUGAAGAAUAAUCACAAUCAUCUCUUCCUUGAACUCUUUCAGUUUUAAGCUGUCUGAAGUAAUUUCCUAUCAGGAUGAGCCUGGCUAAAGAGGCAAUACACUGCACAAAAGAUAAAAUCGUAAGUAUGGAAAACUAUAAAUGUGUGAUUAUGAAAGUAUACAAGUUACCCUUAAAAAAUACAGCAUUGUAUCAAAAGCUUAUCCCUAGCUUGUGUCUCUUCCUUUGUUCUCACAUUCUUUCUUCUCCCCUGUUGAAUUAUGAUUGUUGAUCUCUCUUUUCACUCUCAUCAUUUCCCCCUCACUUCUACACCCCCCUCCAAGGCAAGGAGGAGUGAUGAUCACUGCUUUGUCAGCCCACAUGAAAGAACAUGUAAAUAACAUAGCAAUUUACCUAUGGAGAAAUGAAUUAUUCAAUAAUAUAUUGAUAUGGGAGAAGUGAGAUACACCCCUUUCAGUAUAUGAUUCACUUAAUAUGUCAGUAUUUUGUGGAAAGAUAAUCAUCAAUGAGAUCUUUAGCUAUCUAUGUCUUGCAUUAAUCUGUCACUAGUAGGCCAUGUAAGUUGGUAGGUGUA